GGAUAACCUACCCUUAGGACUGGGAUAACCCUGGGAAACUGGGGAUAAUACCGGAUAGGCAAUUUUUCCUGGAAUGGUUUUUUGUUUAAAUGUUUUUUCGCCUAGGGAUGGGUCUGCGGCCGAUUAGGUAGUUGGUUAGGUAACGGCUUACCAAGCCAUUGAUCGGUACGGGUUGUGAGAGCAAGAGCCCGGAGAUGGAACCUGAGACAAGGUUCCAGGCCCUACGGGGUGCAGCAGGCGCGAAACCUCCGCAAUGUGAGAAAUCGCGACGGGGGGAUCCCAAGUGCCAUUCUUAACGGGAUGGCUUUUCAUUAGUGUAAAGAGCUUUUGGAAUAAGGGCUGGGCAAGACCGGUGCCAGCCGCCGCGGUAACACCGGCAGCUCUAGUGGUAGCAGUUUUUAUUGGGCCUAAAGCGUCCGUAGCCGGUUUAAUAAGUCUCUGGUGAAAUCCUGUAGCUUAACUGUGGGAAUUGCUGGAGAUACUAUUAGACUUGAGACCGGGAGAGGUUAGAGGUACUCCCAGGGUAGAGGUGAAAUUCUGUAAUCCUGGGAGGACCGCCUGUUGCGAAGGCGUCUAACUGGAACGGUUCUGACGGUGAGGGACGAAAGUUAGGGGCGCGAACCGGAUUAGAUACCCGGGUAGUCCUAACUGUAAACGAUGCGGACUUGGUGUUGGGGUGGCUUUGAGCUGCUCCAGUGCCGAAGGGAAGCUGUUAAGUCCGCCGCCUGGGAAGUACGGUCGCAAGACUGAAACUUAA
rnacentral:rRNA from 1 species